GGGGGUUAGGGCAAAGGUGAUUCCCCUGGAUACCUCCCUUAAUUGGGGAAAGCCGGGGAAAUGGGUUUAAAACCGGAUAAGGGGUUCCCCCGCUUGGGGGGUUAGGAAAGAUUUUUGGGUUGGGAGGGCCUGGGGCUUUUUAGUUUGGUGGGGAGUUAAUGCCUCCCCAGGGCGAGGGGGGUUCCCCGCCUAAAAGGGUCCCCGCCCCCCGGGGGAUUGAGCCCCGGCCCAAUUUUCUUGGGGGAGGCAGCAGGGGGGAAUUUUGCCCAAUGGGCGCAAGCCUGAUGCAGCGACGCCGCUUGAAGGAUGACGGCCUUCGGGUUGUAAACCUCUUUCAGUAGGGAAGAAGCGAAAGUGACGGUACCUGCAGAAGAAGCACGGGCAAACUACGUGCCAGCAGCCGCGGUAAUACGUAGGGUGCGAGCGUUAUCCGGAAUUAUUGGGCGUAAAGAGCUCGUAGGCGGUUUGUCGCGUCUGUCGUGAAAGUCCGGGGCUUAACCCCGGAUCUGCGGUGGGUACGGGCAGACUAGAGUGCGGUAGGGGAGACUGGAAUUCCUGGUGUAGCGGUGGAAUGCGCAGAUAUCAGGAGGAACACCGAUGGCGAAGGCAGGUCUCUGGGCUGUAACUGACGCUGAGGAGCGAAAGCAUGGGGAGCGAACAGGAUUAGAUACCCUGGUAGUCCAUGCCGUAAACGUUGGGCACUAGGUGUGGGGACCAUUCCACGGUUUCCGUGCCGCAGCUAACGCAUUAAGUGCCCCGCCUGGGGAGUACGGCCGCAAGGCUAAAACUCAAAGGAAUUGACGGGGGCCCGCACAAGCGGCGGAGCAUGCGGAUUAAUUCGAUGCAACGCGAAGAACCUUACCAAGGCUUGACAUGUUCUCGAUCGCCGUAGAGAUACGGUUUCCCCUUUGGGGCGGGUUCACAGGUGGUGCAUGGUUGUCGUCAGCUCGUGUCGUGAGAUGUUGGGUUAAGUCCCGCAACGAGCGCAACCCUCGUUCCA
rnacentral:rRNA from 1 species